AAAAAAAACAAGAAAGAACGCCAAAAAUAUGCAUAUGUACACCAUGUGCAUUUGGCAUUUUCCAUUUCGUUUUCUAUUACUUUUCCCUUU
rnacentral:ribozyme from 1 species